GAUUAACGCUGGCGGUGUGCAUAAUACAUGCAAGUCGAGCGGAUGACGGGAGCUUGCUCCUUGAUUCAGCGGCGGACGGGUGAGUAAUGCCUAGGAAUCUGCCGGGUAGUGGGGGACAACGCUUCGAAAGGAACGAUAAUACCGCAUACGUCCGACGGGAGAAAGCAGGGGACCGACGGGCCUGGCGCUAUCAGAUGAGCAUAGGUCGGAUUAGCUAUUAGGUGAGGUAAUUGCUCUUCUAGGCGACGAUCCAUAACUGGUGUGAGAGGAUGAUCAGUCACACUGGAACUGAGACACGGUCCAGACUCCUACGGGAGGCAGCAGUGGGGAAUAUUGGACAAUGGGCGAAAGCCUGAUCCAGCCAUGCCGCGUGUGUGAAGAAGGUCUUCGGAUUGUAAAGCACUUUAAGUUGGGAGGAAGGGUUGUACGUUAAUACCGUGCAAUUUUGACGUUACCGACAGAAUAAGCACCGGCUAACUCUGUGCCAGCAGCCGCCGCAG
rnacentral:rRNA from 1 species